rnacentral:rRNA from 1 species
GACGUAGGGCGCGAGCGUUGUCCGGAUUUAUUGGGCGUAAAGAGCUCGUAGGCGGCUUGUCGCGUCGUCCGUGAAAACUUGGGGCUCAACCCCAAGCUUGCGGUCGAUACGGGCAGGCUCGAGUUCGGUAGGGGAGACUGGAAUUCCUGGUGUAGCGGUGAAAUGCGCAGAUAUCAGGAGGAACACCGGUGGCGAAGGCGGGUCUCUGGGCCGGUACUGACGCUGAGGCACGAAAGCGUGGGGAGCAAACAGG